UGUUCUGUGGCUUAGUGUGUUGAAGCACCGGGCUAGCGAAUACGCAGCCGUGGGUUCGAAUUCCACCAGAACGC
rfam:Aedes albopictus isolate Foshan contig3373, whole genome shotgun sequence.